rnacentral:sRNA from 1 species
AUGCCAGGGUUAGCAGCCAGAGACCACGAUGUGCUUGCACGGGAGUGGGCUUGUGGCUGAGUGACCCGCCAAGAUAUGAGAAUAAAAGCGGAAUUUAUUCCGCGAUAUUCGAAUAUCUUGCAGAAUUGCGAGAGUGCGAAAGCACGAAGCAAUUCGUAGG